rnacentral:rRNA from 1 species
GGUGGCCGCAGAGAAUAGGCCCAAGCGACUGUUUACCAAAAACAUAGGUUUCUGCUAAGUCGCAAGACGAUGUAUAGGAGCUGACGCCUGCCCGGUGCUGGAAGGUUAAGGGGAUCUGUUAGAGCAAUCGAAGCAGUGAACUUAAGCCCCAGUAAACGGCGGCCGUAACUAUAACGGUCCUAAGGUAGCGAAAUUCCUUGUCGGGUAAGUUCCGACCCGCACGAAAGGCGUAACGAUUUGGGCACUGUCUCAACAACAGACUCGGUGAAAUUGUAAUUCCGGUGAAGAUGCCGGAUACCUGCGACAGGACGGAAAGACCCCAUGGAGCUUUACUGUAGCUUGACAUUGGGUCUUGGUACUACAUGUACAGGAUAGGUGGGAGGCUUUGAAACCAGGACGCCAGUUUUGGCGGAGCCAUCCUUGGGAUACCACCCUUGUAGUACUGGGACUCUAACCAUAGGCCAUGAAUCUGGUCUUGGGACACUGUCAGGUGGGCAGUUUGACUGGGGCGGUCGCCUCCCAAAAGGUAACGGAGGCGCUCAAAGGUUCUCUCAGUACGGUCGGAAAUCGUACGUAGAGUGUAAAGGCAAAAGAGAGCUUGAUUGCAAGACAUACAGGUCGAGCAAGGAUGAAAAUCGGACUUAGUGAUCCGGUGGUUCUGCGUGGAAGGGCCAUCGCUCAACGGAUAAAAGCUACCCUGGGGAUAACAGGCUUAUCUCCCCCAAGAGUCCACAUCGACGGGGAGGUUUGGCACCUCGAUGUCGGCUCAUCACAUCCUGGGGCUGUAGUAGGUCCCAAGGGUUGGGCUGUUCGCCCAUUAAAGUGGUACGCGAGCUGGGUUCAGAACGUCGUGAGACAGUUCGGUCCCUAUCCGUCGCAGGCGUAGGAAAUUUGAGAAGACCUGUCCUUAGUACGAGAGGACCGGGAUGGACGUACCU